UGCGCGCGCGCGGGCAGGCGGGAAUGUGGGUUCUUGUUUAUCUACGCGGCCGCGCAGACGGGAGGGAGGGAGAGAAGAGUGAGGGGAAAACUCCUGGCUGAGGUCCCACGAGCAGCAGGGAGAGUGUGCAUGUGUGUGUGUGUGUGUGUGUGUGUCUGCGUGUGUGUGUGUGUGUGUGUCUGCAGAGAGCGGGACAUCGCUAGCACAACUUCUCACCCUUGGAAGCGUUUCCACUUUUCUGCUACGUCGACAACUUUUUGCUCCGCGCCGCCGAUCCUCCAAACUGCCAACGUGGGAAGCGUGGGAUACAUGUUCGUCAGCCUCAGCGUUCACAAAAACAAGCCAACCAAGCAUUGGAGACGGCGACAUGCAGCGUGGUUUCUCCCCGGCAUGAGUGGAUAAGUCAACGACAGCCAGAACGCCGUGAUCAAGUGCUUCUCUGGCGAGUUCAAAAAGGCCGCAGAGCCAGGUGUGUUUUGAAGAAGGUGGAGAUGAUCACUCACAGUAUUUCUGGAACGCCGCUCCUUCUGACGUGAGGGUAGGUGUUCUGACACACCUGGGGCGUCUCAAAAGAAACAUCCCAUGUGUCAUUCUGGGUUUUCAUCCGCAGACUCGCUUUUUUGCAAUACAGACGAUAAACGAUAUGAAUCGGAGGUGUCCAAAGAGCGGCCCGCAGAUCAUUUUUUAACGGCCAUUAGCACGUUCUAAAAAUGAUAUUCCCCCCCCCAAAAAAAGUGGAGUAUAAGAGCAAAAUGUAAAGAGGAAAAGUUGCAAUGCUGACUCUAAUAACACAAUGCAGACUGUUUUUUAAAGGACUGUUGUUGAUCAAAUGUAAUAAUGUAUCAAAAUCAAUGCAUUGAAUUAUUGACCUAUUGAAGGCUCCAAUUACUUCACAUCAAUAUUCCAAUUUGAAAUAUUUUUAGGAGAAAAUACAGCAUAUUUUCUGUGUCUUGCUAUAAAAAGUUACAAUUUCUUGGGGAAAAAAAGGGCAUAAAACAACAACGAAAAAAACCGUAUAACCAACAGAUACCUAGUGUGUGUGAGACAAUCUCUAAAAAUUCUAUUCCAAAAAAAAGUUUUAAAAAUUGGAGUAUAAGAGCAAAAUGUAAAGAGAAAAAGUUGCAAUGAUGACUCUAAUCACACAAUGCAGACUGUUUUUUAAAAGACUGUUGUUGAUCAAAUAUAAUAAUGAAUCAAAAUCAAUUCAUUGAAUUAUCGACCUAUUAGAGGCUCCAAUUACUUCACAUCAAAUAUUCCACUUUGAAAUAUUUUAGGAGAAAAUAAUAGCAUAUUUUCUGUGUUUUGCUAUAAAAAGUUACAAUUUCUUUGAAAA